rnacentral:rRNA from 1 species
UUAGUGUAUGUAGCAAGCUUAAGCCGAUAGGUGUAGGCGUAGCGAAAGCGAGUUUUAAUAGAGCGAUAAGUUACAUGCAUUAGACCCGAAACCGAGUGAUCUAGCCAUGAGCAGGUUGAAGGUUGGGUAACACCAACUGGAGGACCGCACCCAUAUCUGUUGAAAAAGAUAGGGAUGACUUGUGGCUAGGGGUGAAAGGCCAAUCAAACUCGGAAAUAGCUGGUUCUCCGCGAAAACUAUUUAGGUAGUGCGGUGAGCGGACACCUUGAGGGGUAGAGCACUGGAAGAAUGAGGGGGGAGCGAUCCUUACUAAAUUUUACCAAACUCCGAAUACUCAAGAGUAAUACUUGCCAGACAGACAGUAGGUGCUAAGGUCUAUUGUCGAGAGGGAAAGAGCCCAGACCGUCAAUUAAGGUCCCAAAAUUAUGGCUAAGUGGUAAAGGAAGUGAAUUGUCCAAAACAGUCAGGAGGUUGGCUUAGAAGCAGCCAUCCUUUAAAGAGUGCGUAAUAGCUCACUAGUCGAGUGACACUGCGCCGAAGAUGUACCGGGGCUAAACACAAUACCGAAGCUGCGGACUUGCAUGUAAGUGCAAGUGGUAGGGGAGCGUUCUAAGUGCUGAGAAGGUAGACCGUAAGGACUGCUGGAGCGCUUAGAAGUGAGAAUGCCGGUGUGAGUAACGUAAGGUAGGUGAGAAUCCUACCCACUAUUUGACCAAGGUUUCCAGGGUCAAGUUCGUCUUCCCUGGGUUAGUCGGGACCUAAGGCGAGGCUGAAAAGCGUAGUCGAUGGACAACAGGUUUAUAUUCCUGUACUGCUUAUAGGACUGAUGGAGUGACGGAGAAAGCUAGGAAGAGCCAGUUAUUGGAUUCUGGUCUAAGCGUUUAGGUUGAUGCACAGGAAAAUCCGUGAUAUCGAUAAGACUGAAGCGUGAUGGCGACGUGGUCUACGGACCGCUAAGUCUUCUGAAGCUAUGCUUCCAAGAAAAACUUCUAAAGAUAUGUUAUAAGUACCCGUACCUAGAACCAACACAGGUGGUCAAGGAGAGAAUCCUAAGGUGAGCGAGAGAACUAUGGUUAAGGAACUCGGCAAAAUUACCCCGUAACUUCGGAAUAAGGGGAGGUUUCUUCGGAAACCCGCAGUGAAUAGGUCCAGGCAACUGUUUACCAAAAACACAGGUCUCUGCUAAAGCGUAAGCUGAUGUAUAGGGGCUGACGCCUGCCCAGUGCUGGAAGGUUAAGAUGAUUUGUUAGGUGGACGAAAGUCGAUAACACCGAAGCUUUGAUUUGAAGCCCCAGUGAACGGCGGCGAUAACUAUAAUCGUCCAAAGGUAGCGAAAUUCCUUGUCAGGUAAGUUCUGACCCGCACGAAAGGCGUAAUGAUCUGGGUACUGUCUCAACCAUAGACUCGGUGAAAUCUUAAUACCUGUGAAAAUGCAGGUUACCCGCGACUGGACGGAAAGACCCCGUGGAGCUUUACUGUAGCUUGAUAUUGGAAUUCGGUAAACUAUGUAGAGCAUAGGUGGGAGACUAUGAGACUAAGGCGCCAGCCUUAGAGGAGUCACCAUUGGAAUACCACCCUUAGUUUAUUGGAUUUCUAACCUAGAGCCAUUAUCUGGUUCAGGGACAGUGUCUGGUGGGCAGUUUGACUGGGGCGGUCGCCUCCUAAAAUGUAACGGAGGCGUUCAAAGGUUCCCUCAGAAUGGUUGGAAAUCAUUCAAAGAGCGUAAAGGUAUAUAGGGAGCUUGACUGCGAGACCUACAAGUCAAGCAGGUGCGAAAGCAGGACUUAGUGAUCAGGCGAUUCAGAAUGGAAUGGUCGUCGCUUAACGGAUAAAAGUUACCCCGGGGAUAACAGGCUGAUACCACCCAAUAGUUCACAUAGACGGUGGUGUUUGGCACCUCGAUGUCGGCUCGUCAUAUCCUGGAGGUGGAGUCGCUUCCAAGGGUUGGGCUGUUCGCCCAUUAAAGUGGCACGCGAGCUGGGUUCAGAACGU